rnacentral:lncRNA from 1 species
CUGUCUUUCAAAAAGAGAACAGCUCCAUCCCGCUCUGUAUGGGAUGCCGGAUUGGAAUCCGCCUAUUCUCUGUUGGUUGAGAAGUACUCUUCUCUGGUAGGGGAACCAUUUGCAAGGGAAGAGUUAGCAAGAGCAGCAGAGAUGAGAGGAAGAGGCGUCCAUGAAAGAGAAACACAUGCACUGUGGUUGGGCACAAGAAACUAGGGGGGGAGAGAGAGAGAGAGAGACAAAGACCGUGCAGUUUGAAUUUUGUUGUCCAUGAGCUUGUUUUCUUUCUUUUUCAGUGGUCCACUACUCCACUCCAUUGUGACCACCUAGUUUGAAUUUUUUGUGCGCCUAUGGAAAAAAUGCCAAGGGUCUAACUUUGACUGGCUUUUACCUGAUUUUUUUAGUUGGCAGGACUUAUUCUAUCUUACUCUGAUCUGAUCAUUAUAUUGAGUUGAUUACCGGUUUGAAUUUAAAAACUAUGAUUUUUUUGUUGAACUUGUAACUAACUAUCUUCUAAUGUUUGUAGAAAAAAUAAACUCAAUGGUAUUAAUAUUGUGUGGUUUAGUUUUCCGUAUUAAUGUUGUAAUUAUUGUAGGUUACUUUUUGACUUAUCUUAAUUAUAAUGAUGUUUGGUUGCCUUCAAAAUAUGACUUAGUGUGAACUGUUUAAUUGGGUAGGAUAUGCAAGUGUUGAAUUUGCCUUCUCAAAUUCUAUCCUCUGUUUAUGACUUAAUUGGAACUAAUUACAUUUUUCCUUAAAUUGUGAUAUUAAGAGUCAAGGUUCAUGAUGAUUGGUCAUGAUUAUGGAUUGAUUUGUGUUAUGAUUAUAAAUGUCGAUAACUUUGUACCAUUUAAUUAUAAAAGAACCUUGUUAAAAUUUCAAUAACGCGCGCGCGCGCGCACGUGUGUGUGUGUGUGUGUGUGUGUGUGUGUGUGUAUAUACCCUGGAAAUUAGAGGGUGUUACAAGUUAAUGUCAGAGCAAGAAAUUGGAUCAGGACAUUUGAAGAUUAAUCUAUUGGGUCGAGUUUAAUAACAAUAUAUUUCACAUGACCAGAACAUUAUUUGGUUCAAUAUUGAUACAAAACCUAAGUCGUGUGAAAAAAGGUAUUAUCCAUAUUCCAUUAUUUAUUAUGGUUUAAAAUAGUGAAAUUAUGCUUUUUCCCUUCACAAAAAAAUAAAUGACCUGACCUUAAAAGGUAAAUGAAUCUUUUUACGGGGUUCAUUUGUCAUUGUUAAAUGUUUUUAGGGCAACACUAUCCUUUCACAAUUUUUUUUACACGAUUAUAUUUGAAUGCCCUUAAAAGCAAAACAACACUUAACUAUGGUCUAGGAGCUUUUUUGAUAAAUAUUAUUCAGAAGAAUAGUAUAAUGAUGUUUUCGCCCCUCCAUUCAAAUUGACAAGGCUUUUUUGUAUUUUCACAAUGGUUUUUUUAUUAUUAUAAUGUCAUAUGAGGGGUAAUUUGGUAAUUGACAAAAUUUAAAAACAAUGAACUAUUAAAAUGCACGGUGAAAUGACCAAAAUACCUUUAAAAUGAAAAAUUUUAAACCUUGAGCCAGGAAAAUUUUUGGUCUUUUCACAAUAGUUUUUCAUAAUUAUAAAUUCAGCUUAUGAGCAAUUUUAUAUUUGGAUAAGAAAAAAAAGGCGAGCUUGUCGGAGUCACCUGCGCACUUUGGGAUGCUCGAGAGGCGACUCUAAGCAUUCAAAAAUACCCUUCCACCGUGGUUUUCAAAGCAUCAUCAUAUCCUUUUCAUGUUGGUGCAGCAAAUGUCUAUCGAGGUGGUCUGGUUUAUCACCGUUGGGUUUUUUUUUUCCUUCUUUUUUCUCUCUUCCCUUGAAAAUUAUUAUUUGACUCCUUUUGUUAUUGGUGUUUCAAUUUUUAUUAUUUUGAUUUCUAAUUUUUGAUCUUGCCCUUUUGUCGCACGUCUCUCGCGCGACGUCGGCUGGUAAUUUUUCAGUUUGCUUGGCUUGAUUUGAUUCAUUGUAGCUGCCACCUAGUAUUUAAUUGAGGGCUACUAGGAAACCCGGGUAUACUGGUCUUGUCAGAGAUUCACGGGUAAGGGACUGAUUAUGUUUAGGGAAGGUAUUAGCACCCCUAACUCACCUUACCUAAGGUAAGCUACUUCGUGGCUUUGAUGUGUUAAAGAAGUUUUAAAAAUUUUGUCUUUCCAUCGGAUAUUAGAAAUACAACUUACGUAUAAGUUAAUAAUUCUUGACCAUGAGCAAAUCAAAAUAUUAAAUUCUUUUUUAAUCUUUGCGAUUUUAUCAGAAAAACAAAUCCAUAAAAAGCACACAAACACACACAUACACUUUUACUAUAUUUUUCUUUUUCUUUUCUUUUUCUUUUUACAUCUACACUUCAAAAUACAAAUUCAAAAAAACUAAACAAAAAAUACAUUACACAAUUUCAAGUUUACAAAAUAACCCCUAAAAACUCCAGAAAUUGCAGGGAAGACCUUCUACAACCACAGGAACAGUGGCGACGUGUCUCCUCCAUACGCCACCGCCACUAGCAGCGCUUGUGUUCAUGCACCAUCGUAAAAUCCAGACAGCGUGAGGGGGCUGUAAUGGCUUCCUCCCCUCUUCACUUUCCUGCUGCCCGUAAGGACCCCAUCACUUGCAAAUCCAAGAACGCAACAAAUGGCAGUUGAUUUUAAGUUUUCUUUUGGUCCAAAUCCGUUCUCGGGUCUGGUUGGUUGUCCUUUCCUUUUUCUUCAAGAGGCUGAUCUGGCGGCUGAGGAAGGGGACGGCGUUUGUAUGGGAGGAGCUGGAGGAAGACGGCGGACAAAUCUUGGUUUGUGGGCGCCGCUGUGUUCGAGCUGGUCUGGAGGAGGUAGGCAGACCGAUUUGAGAAGAGGACGCUAUUGAUGGGGAAUGAGAUGUUGUGGGCGGCCUCUGUGGUUGUAGUGGAAGGGAACGACUAGGAUGGAGAGUGAGGGUCUGUCUUGUGGCCGGCCGAUUCUCUGUAGGGGGAAGGUUGAGAAAGGAGAGGCUGGGAGAUGGAAGUUUUGACAAUGGGAAAAAUAGGGGGUUCGGUUUAUAGAGAAACUGAGAAAUGAGAGUCUGGUGAGGGGGGGCGACUUUGUUUGGGCUGGUGUUCGGAGAUAUAGCUGAAAGAGGAGAAAAUGGAGGCUCUGAUUUAUGUCCAGCGUGUGGCUGAGGGAAGGAACAACUGUGGAUUGGAGAGUGAGGGAAGAAUGUCGAAGAGAGGGAGAGUUGUGGGAAGAAGAGAAACAGGCAGCCGGAUCGGUGGGGGCCGGCUGUUUCGGUAGUGAAUGGAUUUAGGGUUAGGGUUUUUUUUGUUGUCUUUUCCAAACGUGCAAAAUCUCCCCCCCCCCUUUAUGAAUGGGUUGGAAACUCUUAUUUAUAGCAAAAAAUAUUGCUAGGUUUUCAAAAUUGGUCCCUCAACUUCUUUGUUUGUAAAUUUUGAUUUUUUCUUAUUUUUUUGGAUUUUUCUUAUCAACAUCGCCUCGAAUGAGGAAAAUCGGUGAUUUUAAAAAUAACGCGUUAAAGGUCAAAUGCGUUCUAAAAACCUUUGAAAAUUUAAAUUCUUUUGAGACGAUGCUAAAAAUUCUAAAAAAAAUGCAAAUAUAUUUUAAAAAAUGUAUUUUUUGGAUUUUUUAUGUUUUUUGUUAUUUUUGGAUUUUUUAUGAAAAUUUAUCAAAACAUGGGUCAAAAAUUGGGCAGCAACAGAUGCCCCCUCUUUACAAUGCUUACGAAGCAAAACUCCUCAAUGUUUUGUAUAGUAAGCUUUGUGAAGAAAAACUUGUGUUCCUAACUUGUUGAAUCCACUCAUUUAAGGACCUUCCUUUUUUUUCUUUUUUUUGUUUCUUUCUCUUUUCCUUCUAUUGUCUUCCUCUUCUUUCUUUCUCUUUCUCUCUGUCUUUUUUUUUCCGUUAACCUGAGAUCCCAUCUAGCGAUCUCCUUUAACUAGAACCGAAUAAAAUGUUCUUCAUGAUGGCAGGGUUUGAACUUUCUCUCUUUGCUUUUUUUUUCGUUAACUUGAGAACCCACCUGGCGACCUCCUUUAACCAAAACCAAAGAAUGUGUGUAGCUCGGUCAACCUGAAAUCCCAUCUGACGAUUCCCUUUAACCAAAGCCAUAUGAGAUCUCAUCUGGCGACCUCAAUCAAUUGGAACUAAAAACUAUGUGUAGCUCGGUCAACCUGAAAUCCCAUCUGGUGAUUCCCUUUAACCAAAGCCACCUGAGAUCCCAUCUAGUGACCUUAUUUAACUGGAACUAAAAAAUAUGUGUGACUCGGUCAACCUGAAAUCCCAUCUGGCGAUUCCCUUUAAACAAAGCCACCUGAGAUCCCAUCUGGCGAUCUCAUUCAACUGGAACUAAAAAAUAUAUAUAGCUCAGUCAACCUGAAAUCCCAUCUAGCGAUUCCCUUUAAACAAAGCUACCUGAGAUCCCAUAUGGUGAUCUCAUUAAACCAAAACCAAAAAAUAUACGUAGCUCGGUCAACCUGAAAUCUCAUCUGGCGAUUCCCUAAAACCAAAGCUACUUGAGAUCCCAUCUAGCGACGUCAUUGAACUAAAACAAAAGAAUGUGCAAAAAGUGGUCUCAUUGUAAUGGGUGACCUACCCAGGUGGAAAGAAUGUGAAAAAUGGUCUCAUUAUGAUGGGUGACCUACCCAGAUGGAAAGAAUGUGAAGUGCGGUCUCAUUGUAAUGGGUGACCUACCCAGAUGGAAAAUAUGUGAAAAACGAUCUCAUUAUGAUGGGUGACCUACCCAGAUGGAAAGAAUGGAGAAAAACAAUGUGAAGUGCGGUCUCAUUGUAAUGGGUGACCUACCCAGAGAAAAAGGAAAGAGUGGUCUCAUUGCAUUGGGUGACCUACCCAGGUAAAAAAAAACAUGGAGAAUUGGUCGCGUUGUAAUGGGUGACCUACCCAAAAAAAUAUUGACGAUGGCUCAAAGGUGCACUCAAAAGGAGGUAGGGUUAGAAAAUGCACUAUCUGAGAAGCGAGGGCUCAAAGGCGCAUUCGAAAGGAGGUAGGGUUAGAAAAUGCACUACCUUAGAAGUAAGGGCUCAAAGGCGCACUAAAAAAAGAGGUAGGGUUAGAAAACGCACUACCCAAAAGAUGGUGGCUCAAAGGCACACUCGAAAUGAGGUAGGGUUAGAAAACGCACUACCCAAGAGUUGGUGGCUCAAAGGCACACUCGAAAUGAGGUAGGGUUAGAAAAUGCACUACUUAAUAAGUGAGGGCUCAAAGACGCGCUCAAAAGGAGGUAGGGUUAGAAAACUCACUACCCGAGAAAUGAUGGCUCAAAGGCACGCAAAAAAAAGAAGUGAGGGCUCAAAGGCUCACUCGGAAUAAGGUAGGGUUAUAAAACGCACUACCCAAAAGGUGAUGAUGAAACACCGAUCUGACAAUGCUAAAAACAAUGCAUUAUGAUCAAUAUGCAUGUACACGUACCUAAGAAAUAUAGGUCCUCAUUUCUUCAUGGUGUCUUUCUUUUCUCACAAGUUGGAGUGUUGAUAGUAAACAUCGAUGGUUUUGUCCCUCUUGCUUACUCGAGUCAUAUCAUGUGAUCUUGACCUCUAGGAAAGACUUGAUGUCAUCAUACUUCUUUGUCCUUCACCCUUGAUCUCAAGGUUUGUCAAUUUUGCCCAGUAUUUUUCUUAGGAAGGGAAUCCUGGAGCCAGCCCUAUCAUGCAAUUUUUUUUUAUUGCCUCCUAGCUUGAUCAUACCCCAAGUAUUCAACUCCUAGUUUGGGUAUGAGGCUCUAUGAAGGAAGGUUUGACAAGAGUUGUUUUCAUGCAAAAAUUUUUGGAAUUUCAAAGUCAUUCCAGACACAAAAAUCAUUUUGAAAUCGAUUCAAAGUGAACUCAUUCUGAAGAAAUUCAAGUGGUUCCUAUUAAGAGGUUUUUAGAAGUGAUGAAAAAUUUUUGUUUUGCUUUUGGUGAACAAUGUGAAGUGACGCUUGGUUGGUCAAAAAUGGUUCAAAAUUCAAUUUGAGGGUUACAGAGAACCGAUUUUCAAAGCAUUUAUUUUAUUUGCAUGAAUAAUGAUUUGGUUCGCAUGAGAAAGCACUGCCUACCAAUCCAAAUUGCUUGCCUUUGAUCAGAAAGGGCUUGAUUAGGCACGUAAUGUAGGCUUGAGCUCUUGGUUAUGAAGAAAAUGAUAUUUGUAGGCUCAAAAGGUGUUUAAGGGAUUUCAAGACUAAGGAUCACUUGUGCGUGUUUCUUGACCUUUUGUCAUUUGAAUGUCUUUCGAAAAUUGUCUAUCGUGCCCCCUAGUGAUGGGCUUGGGCUCUUUCUCUUUGCUUUUGUUUUCUUCAUAUGGUUUUGAGCAUCAUCAUAUUAUUAUUUUUUAUGCUCAAAACUUUUGAUCCUUUGAAUUUUUCUUCAUACCCCCUAGAUUUGUUCGGGCACCUUUGAUGAUUGAGAAUUUUCUUUUAUGCCCCCCAGUGUUGCUUCGGCACUUUUAAUCAUUGAGUUUUUUUUUUAUGUCUCUUGCACUUGCCCCCAGUGUGGGGUGUGAUCCUAGCCAAGGUUAUUUUCUUAAGAAAAGCAUUGGGCUCAAAAGGGGACUGCAAAUGAUAUAUUUUAGCCUCGUGAAAAGAUUAUCAAAGAUGGCCUUUCUUCAUUUCAAACUCAUGCAUUUAGGAUUAGUAAGCCUUACUUUCAUGCGAGUAUACAAUGUGAUUUCUCAUUAUUCAUUGAAAUAAAACUCAGCUUUUGGAGUCACUUCAUGGUUUUUUUUUUUUUUAGGUUUUUUCCUAGCCAAGGUUUUUUUUUCCUCAUUAUCCUAGCCAAGGUUAUUUUAUGUUGUCUUUUUCAAAAGUGCAAAAUUGUCCCCUUUUGUGAAUGGGUUGGAAACUCUUAUUUAUAGCAAAAAAUAUUGUUAGAUUUUCAAAAUUGGUCCCUCAACUUCUUUGUUUGUAAAUUUUAAUUUUUUCUUAUUUUUUUGGAUUUUUCUUAUCAACAUUGCCUCGAAUGAGGAAAAUCGAUGAUUUUAAAAAUAACACGUUAAAAGUCGAACGCGUUCUAAAAAUAUUUGAAAAUUUAAAUUCUUUUGAGACGAUGCUAAAAUUUUUUAAAAUGAUGCAAAUAUAUUAAAAAAUGUAUUUUUUGGAUUUUCGAUGUUUUUUGUUAUUUUUGGAUUUUUCUUAAAAUGUUUCAAAACAUGGGUAAAAAAUUGGGUAGCAAUACCCUUUUUUUAGAAAUUUUAUUUUUUUAAUUUCAUUCUUCAAUCUUAAUUUACUAAAUAUUAUAUUCUCCAAUUUGGUUCUUAUUUUUUUAUUUUUUUUUCUUGGCUUUUUUGCAAAACUUUUAUUGGUUUUCAAUUCCAUCCUUCAAUUCAAAUUGAUGGUAUUAUGUUUUUUUAAUUUGAAUCUUUUGUGGAAAUUAUUAUUCUUUUUAGUUUUACUUUUCAAUUAAAAUAUUAUUUUUUUAUGUCAAUUUUGAUUUUCAUUAUAGUGAUUUUUUUUCUUUUACUAAAUUGAUUUUUCCUUUCAAUUUCACCCUUCAAUCAAGUAAAAAAAUUAUUUUGUUUUUCAAUUUUAAUUUUUAUUAUUUUUUAAUUUUUUUGUAUAAUUAAAAUUAAUUUUUUUUAAUUUUAUCAUUUAAUAUUUAAUUGAUUGAGAAUUGAAGUUUAUGAUUUUUUCAAAUUGGAUGUUUUAGGUUUAAUAGCUUAGGUCACGAUUUUGAAAAAUUAACAUGGUUUAUGUUUUUAAAAAAAAAACAAAAAGCUUUAUAAUCCUCUUUAUUUUUUUAUUGAGUUAUUCAAAUCUUAUUAUCUAGUCUAUAGGUUUGGCAGGAUACCCCGAGUUAGUUCGAUCCUAAUUAUCUGGAUUACAUGUUUGACAUGCUAACUUAGGUUAACUAAAACAUUUUAUGUUAUUUUUUACCCCGUUUUGUUCUUUUAUAUGAGUUGUGGAUCCAUUUAUUUAUUUGUUUCAUCUAAUUAAAUUAAAAUCAAUUUAUUUAACCUCAUUAAGUUUAUGAACUGAGCCGCUUAGUUUUCUUUCUCUUUAAAAAAUCUAGCAACAGCUAAAUAUUAUUUUUUGCAUUAAAAAAAAAUCAGCUCUCGCUAUCCAAAAAAAUAUUGAAUCACCGAUUAUAUCAUAAAAACCGUAUUAUGGAGGAAAUAAAUAAUAUCAAUCAUCAAUUAAUUUUAGAAGAGAAGAGGGACAUGAAAAAUUUAAAAGAAAAUAUAACAACAUAAGAAAAAAAAAUUUAAUAUCAUAACAACAAUAAAGAAAAUCCUAACAACAUGAUCCAGAAGCUGUAGAUCUUAAUUACGCGAAAGGAGAUUCGAAUCCAGACCCUGCAAAAGCAGAGGAAUUGUAUGCAAGCAAUCUUAACGUGAUGUAUAGGCAGAUGGUGUCCUGUUGUCUUGCAUAAAGUCACAAUUGUGGAGUUUUCCAGGCCAAGGAAAUCAAGAAGCGCGACGGAGAAAGAAGAUGAAGAUGAAGAUGAAGAAAAUCAAUCAAGUUCGAUGUCCUCGCCAACGAUGAACCUGAUUCACCCGGUGGACCAGACAAGUCCGGCGGUGAUCUUGUUACCCGAUUAGAUUUAUAAUCAUGCUUCGCUUCAAUGUAUUUACCAUUACUAUACUAGGAUAACAUUAUCAGGAGUAGAUUAGUCUUUUAUCCUUGAUGUCUUGAAACAUUUCAUGAGGUUUUUUUUAUUUAAUUAUUUUAUAAUUUUAAAUAGAUAUUUGUGUGUGUAUUAAGUUAGUUAUUCUUUUUUUACUCAUGUUUUUUACCACAUAAUUUUUAUUAGUAGCGUGUUUGUUUAAUUAAAACUAUAGGUAAUUAAAAUAAUUUUUCUCUCUCUUUUUUCUUUUCAGUAUUCUAGAGGCGGCUUGAAAUCCAUGUUCAUGCUUCUUGUUUUUCUUCUCUUCGUUAGUUUCAAUUUUUCUCUUCUAUCGUAAGUUCAAUUAAUGGGCCCUAUCCCAUUGUUUUCUUUAAAGACUUCAGUAGAUUUGUGACGCCUAGUUAAAGGUCGGAAGAAAUAGCUUGCUGUCUCUAUUCAAUAAAAUAAAAUAAUAAUAAUGAAUAAAAACCUCUCUCAUUCUUAUCCGAUGGAAGGAUAAGGCCAAAUGAUAUGGGGUGGAAAAGAAAAGGAGAAGAGAGAACAAUAUAUAUAUAUAUAUAUACAUUUUUUAAAAUGGAGGAGAUAUAUAUAUAUUUCAAAUGCAAAUAUAAAAAUAUGAUGCUAUUAAUAGUCUUUGUGCAGAGAUAAUACAUUACAUUUCAUGGAAUCGUUACUUUAAUUAAAAACCCAGCAACACCAUGAAGGAAAAAAAAUAAAAAUAAAAGCAAGAAGAAGAGGAAUAAGAGUGCAAGACCCCGGAAGGUACCUCCUACCUCGUGAAUGAUCUUACAAGAAAUUGGAAGAUGUCUCCCUUUUUCACACUUGGGUCAUUGAGAAAAGUACGUGGUCCAGCCACCAUGCAAUGUCCACUGACGCCGCGCUUGAUCAUCGUAUGUGGCGGUGGACGAGGAGUGUUUAGAUUCCUCUUUUUCCUUUUACUUUUAAGAGAGAGGAAAAAAAAAAGCCAAAUUUUAUAAAAUUCUCAUUGCAAUGGACAGAUAAAUAGCCAAUUUUCUACACCUCUCGCCUGUACUACAACAAGAUAUACAGUAUAAUUAGUACAAAAACGCAAGGCAGUACUAUGUUAGAGGUUUUUUGUUUCUUUU